CCCUAUUAGACACUCUGUGCCGGAGGUCUGUAGGCCAAAACAACAGAAGUCCGGCACAGAGCGUCUAGUUCUGGG
rnacentral:pre_miRNA from 1 species